rnacentral:rRNA from 1 species
UAUUGCACAAUGGGCGAAAGCCUGAUGGAGCAACGCCGCGUGGGUGAAGAAGGUCUUCGGAUCGUAAAACCCUGUUGUUAGAGAAGAANNUGCGUGAGAGUAACUGUUCACGUUUCGACGGUAUCUAACCAGAAAGCUACGGCUAACUACGCUCCAGCAGACGCGGUAAUACGUAGGUGGCAAGCGUUAUCCGGAUUUAUUGGGGGGAAAGAGAACGCAGGCGGUCUUUUAAGUCUGAUGUGAAAGCCUUCGGCUUAACCGGAGUAGUGCAUUGGAAACUGGGAGACUUGAGUGCAGAAGAGGAGAGUGGAACUCCAUGUGUAGCGGUGAAAUGCGUAGAUAUAUGGAAGAACACCAGUGGCGAAAGCGGCUCUCUGGUCUGUAACUGACGCUGAGGUUCGAAAGCGUGGGUAGCAAACAGG